rnacentral:rRNA from 1 species
GAUGAACGCUAGCUACAGGCUUAACACAUGCAAGUCGAGGGGCAGCAUUGGAGUAGCAAUACUUCAGAUGGCGACCGGCGCACGGGUGAGUAACACGUAUCCAACCUGCCGCUUACUCGGGGAUAGCCUUUCGAAAGAAAGAUUAAUACCCGAUGGUAUAAAGAGUUCGCAUGUUCUCUUUAUUAAAGAAUUUCGGUAAGCGAUGGGGAUGCGUUCCAUUAGAUAGUUGGCGGGGUAACGGCCCACCAAGCCUACGAUGGAUAGGGGUUCUGAGAGGAAGGUCCCCCACAUUGGAACUGAGACACGGUCCAAACUCCUACGGGAGGCAGCAGUGAGGAAUAUUGGUCAAUGGACGCGAGUCUGAACCAGCCAAGUAGCGUGAAGGAUGACUGCCCUAUGGGUUGUAAACUUCUUUUAUAAGGGAAUAAAGUGAGGGACGUGUCCCUUUUUGUAUGUACCUUAUGAAUAAGGAUCGGCUAACUCCGUGCCAGCCGCCGCGGUAAAAC